GACAGAGGUGCCAAGCGUUAGGCGGAAUCACUGGGCUUAAAGCGUGUGUAGGCGGAAUGGUAAGUACCUUGUGAAAUCCCACGGCUCAACCGUGGAACUGCUGGGUAUACUGCUUUUCUUGAGCCACUUAGGGGCUGUCGGAACAAACGGUGGAGCGGUGAAAUGCGUAGAUAUCGUUUGGAACGCCAAUGGUGAAAACAACUCGCUGGGGAAGUGCUGACGCUGAGACACGAAAGCCAGGGGAGCGAACGGG
rnacentral:rRNA from 1 species